UACGGAGGGUGCAAGCGUUAAUCGGAAUUACUGGGCGUAAAGCGCACGUAGGCUGUAGUGUAAGUCAGGGGUGAAAUCCCACGGCUCAACCGUGGAACUGCCUUUGAAACUGUCUGACUAGAGUCUUGUAGAGGGGGGUAGAAUUCCAGGUGUAGCGGUGAAAUGCGUAGAGAUCUGGAGGAAUACCGGUGGCGAAGGCGGCCACCUGGACCGGUAUUGACGCUGAGGUGCGAAAGCGUGGGGAGCAAAC
rnacentral:rRNA from 1 species